GACGAACGCUGGCGGCGUGCUUAACACAUGCAAGUCGAACGGAAAGGCCCUGCUUUUGUGGGGUGCUCGAGUGGCGAACGGGUGAGUAACACGUGAGUAACCUGCCCUUGACUUUGGGAUAACUUCAGGAAACUGGGGCUAAUACCGGAUAGGAGCUCCUGCUGCAUGGUGGGGGUUGGAAAGUUUCGGCGGUUGGGGAUGGACUCGCGGCUUAUCCGCUUGUUGGUGGGGUAGUGGCUUACCAAGGCUUGGACGGGUAGCCGGCCUGAGAGGGUGACCGGCCACAGUGGGACUGGGAGACGACCCAGACGCCUACGGGAGGCAGCAGUGGGGAAUAUAGCAAGAUGGGCCGAGUGCGGAUGCAGCAACGCCGCGUGCGAGAGCACGGCCUUCGGGUUGUAAACCGCUUUCGCCUGUGACGAAGCGUGAGUGACGGAAAUGGAGAAAGAAGCACCGGCUAACUACGU
rnacentral:rRNA from 1 species